UUGUGUUAGUUGUGUCAUUUUUUAAAAUACAUUAAUAAAAUAGUAUUUAUAAAUUGUGUAAAGAAAAUAAAAAUUUUUUUUUUUGAGAAGAUUAUUUAAAUUAUAUAAAGUUAUGAAUAUAAUAAUUUAAUAUUUUGUUUAUACUAAAACGAUACUAAUGGAAUGACUGUCAAAAUAAUGAUCUUUAUACUGCAGUUGGUGGUAAAACUCUUGAAUAUCAACAACAAAGAUAAUUAAAGUGUUUAAAAAAAAAAUUAGUGAAUUUGCUAGCUGUGAUUUAGAAAUUAAACAAUAUUCCAUAGUAAAUAAAUAAUAAAAAGAAAUUAACAAAAAUGCCAUGCUGGUAUUAUGAGAAGAAGAAUUUAAAAAAUACACCUUCCGUUCAAGAUGGUAUUGAUUAUGAGACAGAAUCUCGAUAUCGAAAAGAAGGAGCACGAUUUAUUAUUGAUACAGGAACAAAAAUGGAUCUUGGAUAUAAUACAAUGGCAACUGGAGUUGUUUAUUUUCAUCGUUUCUAUAUGUUUCAUUCAUUUAAAACUUUCCCACGUUUCGUCACAGCGUGCAGUUGUUUAUUUUUAGCUGGAAAAGUUGAGGAGACACCAAAAAAAUGUAAAGAUAUUAUUAAAACUGCAAAAGGCAUAUUGUCUGAUCAAAAAUUUUUAACAUUCGGAGAAGAUCCUAAAGAGGAAGUAAUGACAUUGGAAAGGAUUCUUUUACAAACAAUUAAAUUUGAUCUUCAAGUUGAACAUCCGUAUAGUUAUCUUUUGAAAUAUGCAAAAUCACUAAAAGGUGACAAAAAUAAAUUACAAAAAAUGGUACAAAUGGCUUGGACUUUUGUAAACGAUAGCUUGUGUACGACAUUGUGUCUUCAAUGGGAACCAGAAAUAAUAGCAGUUGCUCUAAUGUAUUUAGCGGGAAAAUUAAGUAAAUUCGAAGUUGUCGAUUGGAAUGGAAGACAACCAAAACACUUAAGAUGGUGGGAUAUGUUCGUUGAGGAUGUCACAAUGGAUCUAUUGGAAGAUAUUUGUCAUCAGGUUCUUGAUCUUUAUUCCCAUGCAAAUAAUGCAAAACCACCGGAUUCACCGCCUUUAAUUGCAUCAACCGAAACUGUUAGAGAAAGACUUAUUGCCCCGCCAUCGAUAGAAUCGGCAUCGAGCACACCAAAUGAAAACAUUUUUUCUUUUUUAGCUGGAAUUUCAGUAAAACCAUCGAAAACUGAAACAAAUUCAGUGCCAACAAAUGGUUGUAAUACAACGGAAGGAAUCGAGAAUUCAAAACCUUUAGAAGUUCAUUUUCCAUCGUAUCCGACAAAUUUUGCAAAUACCACAAAUUAUCCACCUGUUUAUCCACCUACAAAUAUCGCAGUACCACCGCCUAAUGUUAAUACAUUAAAUCAUAUUGUACCUACGACACAUAAUUUAGGUACACCAAGUUCUGUGAGACAAAUACCAACUGUCUCAACACCUACACAACAACCAUCGUUUCCACCCUAUGGUUAUCCUUCGAAUUCAUCAUUUUUUUCAGGUGGAACGCCAACUGGUCCAUCGAGUAAUCAACGUUCAUAUUAUCCCUCACAAUCGUAGGUUUAAAAUAUAUUUUUUUUUUAUUAAAUUUUUACUACGUUGAGAUUGUACAUCUGUCAUACGUCAUAUUUCUUUUCGUAAUAAAAUUGAAUAAUGGAGGAAGUAUAGAAUACAUUUUUUUAGAAUACA